rnacentral:rRNA from 1 species
AUUGAACGCUGGCGGCAUGCUUUACACAUGCAAGUCGAACGGUAACAGGGAGCUUGCUCCGCUGACGAGUGGCGAACGGGUGAGUAAUGCAUCGGAACGUGCCGUGUAAUGGGGGAUAACGUAGCGAAAGUUACGCUAAUACCGCAUACGCCCUGAGGGGGAAAGUGGGGGACCGCAAGGCCUCACGUUAUACGAGCGGCCGAUGUCGGAUUAGCUAGUUGGUGGGGUAAAGGCCUACCAAGGCGACGAUCCGUAGCGGGUCUGAGAGGAUGAUCCGCCACACUGGGACUGAGACACGGCCCAGACUCCUACGGGAGGCAGCAGUGGGGAAUUUUGGACAAUGGGGGCAACCCUGAUCCAGCCAUGCCGCGUGAGUGAAGAAGGCCUUCGGGUUGU